rnacentral:rRNA from 1 species
UACGAAGGGGCUAGCGUUGCUCGGAAUCAUGCUAGGGCGUAAAGGGUGCGUAGGCGGGUCUUUAAGUCAGGGGUGAAAGUCCUGGACUCAACUCCAGAACUGCCUUUGAUACUGAAGAUCUUGAGUCUGGAGAGGUGAGUGGAACUGCGAGUGUAGAGGUGAAAUUCGUAGAUAUUCGCAAGAACACCAGUGGCGAAGGCGGACUCACUGGCCCGGUACGUA